GAGAUUUAUUAUGAAAAUCAGUUCCCUGCCUCAGAGCACAUAAAAAACAGUUGGCUUCAUAACCUUGGGGGAAAAAAAUAAAUAAAGAAAUCCCAUGAGACACGCGUGAGAACUGACCCCACUGAUGGUUUAAUGAGGAUGGUGCGUGCCACUCACCUGGAUCAAUAAUUUUUGCACAUUCCUGCCAAGCUCCCACCACAGGCCCUGUCUCAGCCCAGCAAAGAAGACCUUGCCAUGUUUCAGGAAGAAAGGUACAUUCAGAGGCUGCGUUUGGCUCAGGAGGCACCACUGCAAUGAGAGGCUUCAGCUCUUCCCACGGGUGUGAUAAUUCACAGUUUAAAUAAGUUUUUCCUGUCCUGAAGGUAAAAUACAACACAGAAACUGCCACGAGCAUUUUUUUUGGUUUGUGGUUGCAGCAUGGCCUUUUCUGCCCCUUGGACAUAUGCCAUGAAUGCUUUAAUCCUGGCAAGGGUUUUAUCUUAAACAGAUACAAUGAGGGAUCUGAGAAGUAGGUCAGGGGACAUUAGAGGCUGUUUGAUUCAUUGAAUUGUGUGCAUAGCACGCUUUCAGGCCUGAAAUGUCAUUACCUGGAUGCGAUGAAGCUGCUGUUUUGUUUUAGAAA
rnacentral:lncRNA from 1 species